rnacentral:tRNA from 2 species
GCCUACGUAGCUCAGUGGUAGAGCACUUCCUUGGUAAGGAAGAGGUCGCCGGUUCAAUUCCGGCCGUAGGCU